UACACUACAAUUUCCCAGGGUGCUAUCCUGC
rnacentral:piRNA from 1 species